rnacentral:rRNA from 1 species
GUCUACGGCCAUACCACCCUGAACGCGCCCGAUCUCGUCUGAUCUCGGAAGCUAAACAGGGUCGGGCCUGGUUAGUACUUGGAUGGGAGAAAAAGUUUCUGGGUAUC